CAAUAUGAGUGAAUCUAACAAAAUCUUUCUGAAUUCGCGGCCGCUCAUUUUCCUGAAAUUUGCAUUAGAAUCCGAGGAGUGAAGGGUUAAUCUUCUGUGAAUUCACCAUGAGGGCUAAGUGGAAGAAGAAGCGUAUGAGGAGAUUAAAGAGGAAGAGACGAAAGAUGAGACAGCGAUCUAAGUAGAGUUUCGAACAAACCUGGUUUUGUGUUUUCUUUUGUUUUUAAAUCAACUCUGUUCUGAGUUUCAGUUUGAAUGUAUCGUUGGACCAAAUUUUAUGGAAUUUAUGUUUUAUUACAUUGAAAAAAAUCAAUUUUCUCAUAAA